AUUGAACGCUGGCGGCAGGCCUAACACAUGCAAGUCGAGCGAGCGGCGGACGGGUGAGUAAUGUAUGGGGAUCUGCCCGAUCGAGGGGGAUAACUACUGGAAACGGUGGCUAAUACCGCAUACUAUCGGAUGAACCCAUAUGGGAUUAGCUAGUAGGUGGGGUAAAGGCUCACCUAGGCGACGAUCCCUAGCUGGUCUGAGAGGAUGAUAAGCCACACUGGGACUGAGACACGGCCCCGCCUCCUACGGGAGGCAGCAGGGGGGAAUAUGGCACAAUGGGCGCAAGCCUGAUGCAGCCAUGCCGCGUGUAUGAAGAAGGCCUUAGGGUUGUAAAGUACUUUCAGCGGGGAGGCGUUACCCGCAGAAGAAGCACCGGCUAACUCCGUGCCAGCAGCCGCGGUAAUAC
rnacentral:rRNA from 1 species